GACGAACGCUGGCGGCGUGCCUAAUACAUGCAAGUAGGACGCAGUUGCGAACGGGAGAGUAACGCGUAGGUCACUACCUAUUAGCGGGGGAUAACUAUAGGAAACGAUAGCUAAUACCGCCUACUAGUAGAUGGAACUGCGUUGUAUUAGCUCGUAGAUAGGGUAAUGGCCUACCUAGACAACGAUACAUAGUCGACGUGGGUGGGUUAUCGGCCACACGUGGAGGUGGAGGCGGCCCAGACGCCGUCGGGAGGCAGCAGAAGGGAAUGUUUGGCAAUGGGGGGAACCCUUACUGAGCAACGCCGCGUGAGUGAAGAAGGUUGUCGGAGCGUAAAGCUCGGUGGGUAAGGAAGCGGUACUUAACCAGAAAGGGGCGGCUAACUACGUGCCAGCCGCCGCGGUAAUAC
rnacentral:rRNA from 1 species